UAGGGAAUCUUCCGCAAUGGGCGAAAGCCUGACGGAGCAACGCCGCGUGAGUGAUGAAGGUCUUCGGAUCGUAAAACUCUGUUAUUAGGGAAGAACAAAUGUGUAAGUAACUAUGCACGUCUUGACGGUACCUAAUCAGAAAGCCACGGCUAACUACGUGCCAGCAGCCGCGGUAAUACGUAGGUGGCAAGCGUUAUCCGGAAUUAUUGGGCGUAAAGCGCGCGUAGGCGGUUUUUUAAGGCUGAUGUGAAAGCCCACGGCUCAACCGUGGAGGGUCAUUGGAAACUGGAAAACUUGAGUGCAGAAGAGGAAAGUGGAAUUCCAGGUGUAGCGGUGAAAUGCGCAGAGAUAUGGAGGAACACCAGUGGCGAAGGCGACUUUCUGGUCUGUAACUGACGCUGAUGUGCGAAAGCGUGGGGAUCAAACAGG
rnacentral:rRNA from 1 species